rnacentral:lncRNA from 1 species
AAGAACUAAAAUUGACCUUAGAUCUAGUUCAUUUAACGGCUUGGAUUAAAUCUUAGGUGUGUCAACUGAUUCAUUUUAUUUUCUUAAAUAAUUCACGCUCGUUUCGAGCAUGAGGGUAAUUUUGACAUUAUUCUUUCACUUUCCAUAUAGCAAAUAACAUCUUUCCGGAUUCUACGAAUCAUUUAUUUUGGCAGAAGAUUUGACAUUUGAGAAAGAAAAAAAGGGGUUGAGCGAAGAACCAGAGGCGGCGAAGCAAAGGGAUCUGAAUCGAAGGCUGAAGUCCUUGUAUUUCAACAACUUUCCGGCGAUGUUCAUUGCGCAAUGGCAAGAACAAAUACCUGAUUGACAUGGUUAGAUUUAAUAUGCAAAAUUUUAUGAAAUUUCAAUUUUAUUUGUUGGGUUUUGCUGUAUUCUUGUUUUCAAUCAGAGUGGAUGUUUUUUCACCUAUAUCUGGGUGUGUUCUUAAAUGUGAAAAAAAAAUGUAAAAAAAAAAAUCUUGGCAUAACUAAUUAAAAUUUGGGGGUGAUAUUAUGUGUUAUAUUGUAGAAAAAUAUCGAUUCAUGAAUUUUCUCUUAAUUAUUCACACAUAUAAUUUUAGAAUUUCAUUUGAAUGAUGUGUGAAGAACCGCUUAUGCUAUGUUGGGUUAUGAAUUGAGACUAGUGUUGUUGUAAGCUUUAUUGAAUGUUUGAUUAUAACUCGAUUUUUUUUAAUAUUUGUAUAUGUUUGUAUUCUUAUUUUUCCGUUUUUAUUUUUUCAACACUUUUUAAAAAUAUUCUGAAUUGGAAGUAUUUUAUAUGGCAGAUUUGUUAUGAUUCAUAUUAAUUACGAGAAAAAACAUGUAUUAGUAAGGUCAAAUUCGUGUAUAUCUUUUAAGUUUUGUAUACUGUGGACUUGGUUGUAUUAUUUUUUUUUAUUAGUAUUGUGAAUUAUCUAUAUUGUUUAGUUUGAUAUUAUGGUGUUUCGUUCUAUACGGUGGGAAUUUUGAAAUAAUGUGUUUCCAAAAAUUCAUAUGAAUUUUGAAUUGUUUUNAUUAAAGAGACCUAUUAAGAAUAGAUUUCUUGUAGGCUUUGUACGUUACGAGUAUUCGUACUUCUGUUCCGAUUCAGAGAUAACGUUAAACGACAGGCUUUGCCUAUACAGGUGGGCUUAUUUUCCAAAUGUAUGAUUGAGCUAAUGAGCUUAAAUGUUUCGUGAAAUAUAAACUGUUUAUCCAAUAAAUAUUUUUGUGCACUCUGCUCUGUUUAAGGCUCGCCACAACGAAUCAAUUGAGGUUCUCUUAUAGCCUAACACGUUAUUUGAGAAUUGUGUACACCGUUAGCUGACUCGGUGGGUUGAUCUCCAUUCGGGCAAACUAAGAGGCGUUAUAAGGAUGCUUGCUGGAUGUGUUCCGAAGCAUAGAAUGUAAGGGCCUGCCUGGGUAUCGUCCCGAGGUCAAAAGUAAACUUGUCUAGGUUACGCCCUCAGUUCAAGUAAAUGGGAGAAAUGGAUCCGUCGGUGGCUAAAAGGUCCGGGAUCAUAGCGAGUAACAGAAAUGAGUGUGUACAUCUGCGCGACAAACUAUAUAUAUAUAUAUAUAUAUAUAUAUAUAUAUAUAUAUAUAAAAUGAAAUGUUUUAACAUGCUUAGAAGUUCUUUCACUUUAAAACCUUCUAAGUCAUGUCAAGUAUGAUUGGAUAAACUGUUCUUCAAGUUAUGAAAUGUUUUAAAGUUGUAGCCCACUAAGUACAUUAGUACUUAGCCCAAAUAUUUUCAAAUGUUUUCAGGUUAACGGCAGGUGAUGACGGGGCAGAGCUGAGGCUAAGGUUCAACUCCGUGUUUUGACAUCCGCUGUAGAAUUGCCAGUAUCUAUCUUUUGUUUUCCUUAACUUAAGACCUUUAUGUUGUGACUCUAAACAAUAUAUAUAUUGUUGAGCCGAGACUUUUAAUUCACAAGUAUUUCAUUCUAAAUGUUGGUUAUCUGAAGCAUGACACUAAACUUGUGAUCCUGAAGUUUAUGCUUGUUGAUUGAUUCGUAUCACUUGAAUACAUGUCUUUCUUCAUCCAAAGGGGCUAAGCCCGAUUGUUAUCCAUUUUAUUCGGAUUUCACAAGGAUUUUUCCUUGUUCAUUUAGAUGAUUAGUCGUACCCCAGUUAUAGUUGUUGUUUCAAGAAUUGGGGUGUGACAUAUACGGUGGGAAUUUUGAAAUAAUAUGUUUCCAAAAAUUCAUAUGAAUUUUGAAUUGUUUUAUUAUUUGUAAUGAGCAGUCUCCUUUAUUUAUUUAUUUAUUAUUAUUUCUUAAUUGAGUAUAUUAUGACGGGUAGUUAUGUUAUGAUUUAAUUAUUUCAGCAUUUAUCAUUUGUGAAAUUAAAGGAUUAAAGUUUGCAUUCACGUAUAAUUGUGUUCAAUUCGUACAAAGUGAUUCUGGAUUAGUGUUAUAUAUCUUAUGAAUUGUAGCUAUAUUCUCUAUUGUAUUAAGUCUAUAUAUGGGGAGGUUUGGAUUGGUGAUUUAUGUAUAUAUAUUGUGUAUGCCCCUAGUGUCAAGGGGAAGGGUAAACAGGUUGCAAACUACGAAAGGAAUGCUGAAAGUUCAAGCCAAAUGAAAAUACUUGAAGGUUUAGAUUAUUUAUUAAUUUUAUAUAUGUAUACUGGUAUUAUGAUGAUGAAUGUCGUGCUGAAAUAGUAUUUAUACAUGAAAUAUGUAUGUACGAAGCUUCGGAAUGAUUCAAUAUUAACAGGGUUUUUGCGAGCGAUGGUUGAUGGUUUGUCUUAUUAAUUAUAAAAUAGUUUGUCGUAUUUGUUCUGGAUAUUUGCAGUUUCAUUUAAAUUUCAUAUUGAAUGUUGAUUCGUGUUUAUUGUUCAAUCAGGUGAAAAACUCAAGAGGAAGAACAGAGAGACAUCUACAGCAAGCCCCGCUGAAAAUUCGAAAGUCCCUGCAGUUGUUUUAGGUCUCGAGUAGCUUAUGCGAAGAAGAUAAGGAAUGACAUGCAUAAGCCUGCACAGGAAAAGUACAAGCAGCGCAAUUGGUGGUGAAAAGAUCAGAGGAUUACUAUACACUUUUCACUAGGAGCACCCAUACGUUAUGUUCAAAGCUGUUAAAUUGUUGAACAAAGCCCAGAACAAGCUGUGGCAAGUUUGGGAUUCAGUGAUUUGAUCGAUCUUCUGAUCUAGGCUCUGCCUGGAAAGCUAGAUUAGAUGAAUCAUAUUCAUGCCAAUGCAUCCUAUUCAUGUCGAGCUACAAAAAUUUAUACAUGGAACUUUUAAAAUUAUUAAUGGCAUCCUAUUCAUGCGCAUACACUGUAUUAUUCACAUAUACUGAUGCAUCGCAAAAUUAUAACGAAGAAUGCAUAUAAUGAUUCAAAUAUACAUAUUCAUAGUUCAUCGCACAAUUAUGAGUAUGUCUAUACAAAUUGGACGAAUAACUAAGUAUUAUUGUAUGAAUCGUUAUGUAAUUGUGGAUG